CAUACUAUUAAUUAAAGUAACACUAGUACAUUUUUCAAAUAUUUGUUUCAAACCAUCAGAGGCAUCAGCGCCACUUUUCUCUUUCUUUUAGUGGUUCCCAAACUUUUGGUCUUCUCCUCUUCUCAUUCUAAUUUUCUUUCCAUACCAAAACAAGACAUAUGAAGAAAAACCAUUGAAGAGAAGUGAACAGCAAAAUAUUAACCAUUGAAUGCACAACAAAGAUUCAAAGAGCAACAACUGAACGGGCCUUUUCAGCUAUGAAGAUUAUUAAAACAAGGCUUCGAAACAAGAUGGAAGAUGAAUUUUUAGCAGAUUGUAUGAUUGUAUAUAUUGAAAAAGAAA